rnacentral:tRNA from 1 species
GAAAAUCCGUUGACUUAAA